UACGUAGGGUGCGAGCGUUAAUCGGAAUUACUGGGCGUAAAGCGUGCGCAGGCGGUUCGUUAAGACAGAUGUGAAAUCCCCGGGCUCAACCUGGGAAUGGCGAUGGUGACUGCAAGGCUAGAGUUUGGCAGAGGGGGGUAGAAUUCCACGUGUAGCAGUGAAAUGCGUAGAUAUGUGGAGGAACACCGAUGGCGAAGGCAGUCCCCUGGGUCAAAACUGACGCUCAUGCACGAAAGCGUGGGGAGCAAACAGG
rnacentral:rRNA from 1 species